rnacentral:sRNA from 1 species
AGUUGUUCCAUGGCCAACCGCAACACAGGAAGCGGGAUCGCGGGUUCCUAGCUCCUUAACACCUGCCUGCACCCCAUUAAAAUGGUAUGGGGCCAGUGUCAAUGCCAAGUUUAGCAACGGAACACAAAAAUAAAUUGACAUCUCAGGCUGGCCGUAAAUCAAUGGAGACAACUCAGACAUCCAAACCAUGUUGAAGUGACGAAAUGAGCUGCAGAGUGAGUCAUAAAAACACUGAAAUCUAGAGGAGAUGGAUCACAUUUGAUGGUUGUCUUUUAUGAUCCCACAAUUGAGAUACAACAAGAUGGAGAUAUGAGAGGUCUGUGGAGGACAGUGUAGAUAUAUUUGAGAAGGAAACGGUGGAUCACAAAUGAUGGAUGGAGUUCUUAGUCAUUUGAGAUAGGAGCUUAUGAUAUGAUAAGCCUUAACCCAAAAACUGAUGGCAACUUAUAAAUAAACAGCAAAUAUGGAAGACUCCAAAUGUGAGUGGAGAAUUAGAA